rnacentral:rRNA from 1 species
CCUACGGGUGGCAGCAGUGAGGAAUAUUGGUCAAUGGACGAGAGUCUGAACCAGCCAAGUAGCGUGAAGGAUGACUGCCCUAUGGGUUGUAAACUUCUUUUAUAUGGGAAUAAAAUGUUCCACGUGUGGGCUUUUGUAUGUACCAUAUGAAUAAGGAUCGGCUAACUCCGUGCCAGCAGCCGCGGUAAUACGGAGGAUCCGAGCGUUAUCCGGAUUUAUUGGGUUUAAAGGGAGCGUAGGUGGAUUGUUAAGUCAGUUGUGAAAGUUUGCGGCUCAACCGUAGAAUUGCAGUUGAAACUGGCAGUCUUGAGUACAGUAGAGGUGUGCGGAAUGCGUGGUGUAGCGGUGAAAUGCUUAGAUAUCACGAAGAACUCCGAUUGCGAAGGCAGCUCACUGGACUGACACUGACACUGAGGCACGAAAGUGUGGGUAUCAAACAGGAUUAGAUACCCGUGUAGUC